UACGUAGGGUGCGAGCGUUAAUCGGAAUUACUGGGCGUAAAGCGUGCGCAGGCGGUGAGCUGUGUCCGAUGUGAAAGCCCCGGGCUUAACCUGGGAAUGGCAUUGGAAACUGGCCUCGCUGGAGUGUGGCAGGAGGGGGGUGGAAUUCCGCGUGUAGCAGUGAAAUGCGUAGAGAUGCGGAGGAACACCGAUGGCGAAGGCAGCCCCCUGGGCUAACACUGACGCUCAGGCACGAAAGCGUGGGGAGCAAACAGG
rnacentral:rRNA from 1 species